rnacentral:misc_RNA from 1 species
UUUCCGUAGGUGAACCUGCGGAAGGAUCAUUACCGAAUUGUCAAACGGGUUGUUGUUGGUCUUCAAACGGGGACAUGUGGACGCUCUGUUUACACGUCCACUCACACCUGUGCUCCGUCAGUAGUUUUAUGGUCUGGGGGAACCUGCUUUCCUGCCGUGGUACUACGUCUUUACACACACACUGUAAUACAGUCUUAUUGAAUGCAUGCCGCGGCUAACGCAAUACAAUACAACUUUCAGCAACGGAUCUCUUGGCUCUC